CCUACGGGAGGCAGCAGUAGGGAAUAUUGGUCAAUGGGCGAAAGCCUGAACCAGCAACGCCGCGUGCGCGAUGAAGGCCUUCGGGUCGUAAAGCGCUUUUGGGAGGGAUGAAAAUGACAGUACCUCCCGAAUAAGGAUCGGCUAACUACGUGCCAGCAGCCGCGGUAAGACGUAGGAUCCAAGCGUUAUCCGGAAUUACUGGGCGUAAAGGGCGUGUAGGAGGUUGGGCAAGUCGGCCAUGAAAGCUCCCGGCUCAACUGGGAGAGGCUGGUCGAUACUGCCUGGCUAGAGGGCAAGAGAGGGAGGUGGAAUUCCCGGUGUAGUGGUGAAAUGCGUAGAUAUCGGGAGGAACACCAGUGGCGAAGGCGGCCUCCUGGCUUGUACCUGACUCUGAAACGCGAAAGCAUGGGUAGCAAACAGGAUUAGAAACCCUGGUAGUCCAUGCCAUAAACGAUGUCAACUGGGUGUCGGCGAAGUAAAAUUUGUCGGUGCCGAAGCUAACGCGUUAAGUUGACCGCCUGAGGACUACGAUCGCAGNUAAACUCAAAGGAUUGAGNGUGNGNNGCGAGNGANAGNGGAG
rnacentral:rRNA from 1 species